CCAAAGCUGGCGACCGGCGCACGGGUGAGUAACACGUAUCCAACCUGCCUCAUACUCGGGGAUAGCCUCUCGAAAGAAAGAUUAAUAUCCGAUAGCAUAUAUUUCCCGCAUGGGUUUUAUAUUAAAGAAAUUCGGUAUGAGAUGGGGAUGCGUUCCAUUAGUUUGUUGGGGGGUAACGGCCCACCAAGACUACGAUGGAUAGGGGUUCUGAGAGGAAGGUCCCCCACAUUGGAACUGAGACACGGUCCAA
rnacentral:rRNA from 1 species